UUCUUGACGAACUAACUCAGAGGAAAGGGAAACAGAAAAGCCUGAAUAAAUCCGUUAGCAGCCCUGGAAGCCACUGAGACACUAUACAACGAGUGAAGCACACACUUCUAAAUUUUUCAAGGAGUUAAAAGUAAGAUCCACCUGGACACCUGUGGUGCUCCAGAAACCACUCUUGCCUCAGAAAAACAUCUCUGGCCAUGAACAUGGGAAAAAAAAGUUUUUCCUUGCUUGCUUGCGACAACCACCUUAUGCCAUUUGAUGGCAUCAAACCACCUGCCGGUGUCUUCAACACCACCAGUGAGAACGUC
rnacentral:lncRNA from 1 species